CAUAUAAUCGACGAAUCUUCUGUUAGUCUCGAGAUAGUAAGUCUCCAUCGAUAAUAAGUUUUUAACGACAUUCGAUUGAACAAAACGUAUAGUGUAAGGGCUCGUCUUCGCUGAAGCACCAUCGAGCAAUCUCUUGUCGCUGUUCCAAGUUUCUUGAAAAAGUCGCCGCAUGUUGCUUCAGUGCAGACGAGUUCUGAGAAAAGAUUCCUUGAAAAAUUCGACGAUAACUUUAGGAAAACGAUUCAACGUGUCGUUGGCUACGUACCCUAAUCCAAACAUCUCUCAAAGGGUGUUAAUUAUUCAUCGUUCAUGACGUGGCCAUGGAAUAUUUAAAGAUAUUGAUCCAGAAAAACGUUUCCAAUCGUUCGAUAAAACUAAUGCUUAUCUAAUAGAUAUGGUUUUCCACGAAUCUGUAUAAAGAUCUAUCGAAUGGGUUCACGAUUGUUUCGAUAUCGUGAAAGCUGAGAUACUUAGCAACGGUGAAAAGGAAAUGGGAGAAAGGAACCAAACGGUAUUUCAUGUCUUAAGUAUUUAAUUACGAUAGCAAUAUCGACAAGAGAAAGGGAAAAAUGAUCGAAAUGAUAAUUUUUGAUCGCGUUUAACAAUGAUAUCCUUCGCUGUGGAACCGGUUCGGAAUUCCGAGAUAAAAUCAAUUUAGAUUAGACCGUGAAUCGACGUGAAUCGCGUUUAAUACGUUUAAUUAUCAUGUCUUCUAUUGUUUAAUAUCAGAGUCGUUCAUCGAUUAUCGUUGACAAAAUUCACAUACAAUGGCUACUUUCUAAUGAAGUGUUCCUCUUUUUUCUUUUAUCACAUUCUACAUUUCGCUUUCAUGGUAUGAAAUUUUGGUAGUCGUAUGAAAGUAUGUACCAUUAAAUAAUACUGAUCGUAACUUUAAUAUACUUGAAACUAAUUAAUUAAUAUGUCGAUGGCAUACUGCACAAAUAUUGUUUGUCCAUUUUUAACGUUUUCUAGAAAAUCAGUCUUAAACAAUAAAUAAAUAUUUUAAAUAGAAUAAAUUAAAUAAAAUUGGUUGCAAAUCGUACAUUGAUGCUUCUUAGGGAUAUAAAAUGAUCACAAUGGAUCAUGCUCGUUGAAAGUAUCUUUAUAUAGGUACACUGUGUGCAGUAAACAAAGUUAUUGUUUUCGACAAACUUAUGAAGUGGAUAUAAUAAUUUUUAUACAGAAUAACGAAAAUAUCUAAAGACUGAAAUUUCACAAGAAGCAAACGCAAUUUAUGCAAUAUAAUGAUAAUGAGAUAAUAUUAAUGUUCGAGUAAUUUAUCAAUAUAUUGUAGUAUCAUGUGUGUAGUAUGUAUGUAGUAUAUUGUAGUAGAAUAUCCAUGAUACUGUAACGUAUUAUUCUAGGUGAAUCUUUAAAGUAAACUGAUAAUUUUAAGACCGUUCGUACGCUAUUCGCACAAACUAUUCUAUCUGUAUUAUAAUUAAAUAAUAAUUUAAUAAUAAUAAUUCUAUCGUUAUAACUAGACUGUGGAUUUUUAUGCAAAUUCAUAUUUUUGAGAAUAUAAUGAAAAAUGUAAAUUUGCCUGCCAACUGUUAUAGAAGGCGCUAUACUUUGCAUAUUUUAUUUUUCAUAUUAUCUGCAUUCUGUUCGAUUUUGCACUUUUACAUUUCCUAUAAAUGCAUAAAAUCGGCAGUGUAGUUGUAAUAAUAUAAACACUUAAAGGUGUUAAAAAUCGUUCGCCAACUGUCCUGAACAAAAAUUCAUAUAUUUAAGAAGAUUAAAAGACGAACAGGAUGAUGGAAAGCAUACACUAUAUCCUAUUGCGAUCUGUUAGGGAAUUCGCCAUUGCUAAAAUAUGGUUGCAUAUAACAGCUGCGAAGGAAACGACGCAAUACGUAAUCGUACGAACAACGAUGAAUCACUUGGUGUUGCACUUUCCUCUCCCAACGAUAAUCGAGUUUCCUGGCCGUAAGAGAUCGUAUAUCCUAAGCAAAGAGAAUAAAAAACGCAACAAACCGAGAUUGUUGCGUGCGAUUUCGGAAGUGGCGAGAAGAUUCCUUUUGAAGAAACGUUAGGAGCAGUGCGAUACGCAUUUGCCAGCUCGUGUCAAGUCUGCACGUGCGGCUCAACUUGCGCCAAAUGUGCCUGCGUGUUCUACCACCUUGUGUGUACGACGCGCGCACCUAAUGAGUUAGUAUUGUCAAUAUCCUCCACCGAACUCGAAUUGCGUAAACAGCCGAUCGGAUAUAAAAGAUACGAGGCAUUGGCCGGCCGCGGCGCGGCGCGGCGGUAGGUGCUAUCGCCAAGCUGAAAUCGUUUCGUGCAACCAUCGAUAAAAGAGAAAAUAUAACGUAUUCAAAUAAUAUGGAAAUACUUUCAAAUAUGCAAGGGAAAGUGAAGGAGAAGCGAACUAAAAGUGAGAGAGCAUGUAUCGCGAAAUGAAAAAUUCCACGGCGAACGAAACUAGAGUCAGGAUCACGUGACGAAUGCGUAAAUAGGAGGCAGUUUGUUCGAUGCGUAUGCUACCGUUUCUAUCGCACUCAUUGUCAGUGGCACGUGCUGCUACUACUGAAAACCAUUAACGGCAGUGUAGUCGUUUCCCAGGCUUUUGUCCCCGCAUUCUCAAAAGAGGUGGUUUGGACGGUAAUUGGACGAGGUUUUUUUUAGAAACAAGUUGAUAUAAAAGAAAAGACUCGCAACUAAUUAGCGUCGCACGAAGGAAACGCAGUAUCCAAUUUUAUUGGAUAAGAAAAUACAAAUAAAACAGCUUCGUCCAAAAACGUAUAAUUUGUAAUUCACCGAUGGAAAGUUGGAUCGUGUGGUUUCCUAUAAUUAACGCGAUCUUCCAUUUACAAUUUACAUUACGUAUUGUGGCUUAUUACAAUUAAUGAUUGUCUGUAUUAAUAUUUCUGUAAUCUUUAGAAAAUGUGUGCUUUCAAUAAAUAUCUUGUAACCUCCA